CCAGCUUUCAUCGCCUGUGGGAGACUCACUGCAGAGGGAGUUGGCAAGCAGUGUUGAAAUCUCCAACACUUCAUAGUUAUCAUCAGCAACCUAGAGAAAACAUGGUGGUGAGAAUGUAGAUUACACCAGAACAAGAACUUUGCCUUGCUCAUCACUGAAGAGGAGGAAAAUGCACAGAAAUGAAGUGAUGUACUGCAGGUCAAUAGUAAGCUUCAGGGCUGGAUUAAGUAUCAGGGUUCUCAUUCAUGUCACCCUUACCACAUGGAUCCAAACGAUCUGAACUGGAUCUUGCCUAUGUCAUGUGCUCUCUGGACCAGUGUUGAUGAGACAGGGUAACAAUCCUUGGAUGGUAAAUGAAAAAGGAGAAGUUCAGUCCCAUUGUUGUGGGUUAAACUGUGUCCUCCAAAAAGUCUGGAAGAGGAAAAUAAGGACACAGAAAGAGGAACAGCAUGUGGACACAGACACAGAAGAGGAAAGGCCAUUAUGCAGGUGGAGGCAGAGACUGAAGUGAGGCAUGUGCACGUCAAAGAAUGCCACGGGUGAAAGGAGUCUUCCCUAGAACCUUCAGAGGGAGCAUGACCCUACUGACACCCUGAUUUUGACUGCAAAGCCGUAAAAGAAUAAAUCUCUGUUGU